rnacentral:rRNA from 1 species
UACGUAGGACGCAAACGUUGUCCGGAUUUACUGGGUGUAAAGGGUGCUCAGGCGGUCUUGUAAGUCAGUGGUGAAAUCCCGGAGCUCAACUCCGGAACUGCCUUUGAUACUACAAGGCUUGAGUAUGGAAGAGGUGGAUGGAAUUUCUGGUGUAGCAGUGAAAUGCGUAGAUAUCAGAAAGAACACCAGUGGCGAAGGCGGUCUACUGGUCCAUUACUGACGCUAAAGCACGAAAGCGUGGGGAGCAAACAGG